AUGGCAGGCCAGGCCCAAAACGGCCACGCCGACCUCCCAAGGAAGCCGCCCGUCGUCGUCAUCUACUCGCCGCCGGGGAUGGCGGGCCACCUGGUCCCCGUGGCGGAGCUCGGCAAGCUGCUCGUGGCGCAGGGCCUCCAGGUCACCGUCCUCCUCGGCGGGGGCGAUACGUCGUUCCUCGAUGGCCUCGCCGCCGCCAACCCGGCGCUGGCCUUCCACUGCCUGCCCCCGGCCGCGCUCGCCCCCGACGUGGCCGCCGCCUGCGGCAGCAGCUUCGAGGCCAGGCUCUUCGAGCUCGCGCGCGCCGCCAACCCGGCCGCCCUCCUCAUCGACUUCUUCUGCAGCGCCGCGCUCGACGUCGGCGCCGAGCUCCGCGUGCCCACCUACUUCUUCUUCACCGCUUGCGUCGGCAGCGUCGCCUUCGGGCUCUACCACCCGGUCAUCGACGAGCGGACCACCCUGAGCUUCCGGGACAUGGGCGGCGACCCCGUGCACGCCCCGGGACUGCCGCCCAUACCGGCGGAUCACCUCGCCGGGGCCACCCUCGAUCGCGAGAGCUUGAGCAACAGGCACUUCGUUGACUUGGGCCUAAGGCUGUGCCACUCCAGAGGUGUUCUCGUGAACGGCUGCCGUUCCUUGGAGGCGCGCGCCGCCGACGCCAUCGUGGCCGGCCUCUGCACUCCGCCCGGCCGUCCGACGCCGCCGCUGUACUGCGUGGGGCCGCUGAUUAAGCACGACGAGGAGACCGGGGCGUCAAAGCGCCACGAGUGCCUCGCAUGGCUCGAUGGCCAGCCCGAGGCCAGCGUGGUGUUCCUCUGCUUCGGCAGCAUGGGCCGGUUCAGCGCGGAGCAGGUCAAGGAGAUAGCUGCUGGCCUUGAAACAAGUGGGCAGCGGUUCCUGUGGGUCGUGCGGCGCCCGCCCCUGCCCGGUGCCGAGCGCCGGCCGCCGGCCGACGGCGACGAUGACGGCGACAUCGACGAGCUGUUCCCGGAAGGCUUCCUGCACCGGACCAAGGACAGGGGGCUGGUGGUCAUGUCCUGGGCGCCGCAGCGGCAGGUGCUGGCGCACGGAGCGGUGGGCGGCUUCGUGACGCACUGCGGCUGGAACUCAGUGCUGGAAGCCGUCAUGGCAGGGGUGCCGAUGCUGGCGUGGCCGCUCUACGCGGAGCAGCGCAUGAACCGGGUGUUCCUGGUGGAGGAGAUGCGGCUGGCCGUGCCCAUGGAAGGCUACGACAAGAAGAUGGUGGAGUCCGACGAGGUGGCGGCCAAGGUGCGGUGGCUGAUCGAGUCCGACGGCGGGAGGGAGCUCCGACGGCGGACGCGGGCGGCCAUGCGGCUGGCGGAGGAGGCGCUGGCCGACGGCGGCGAGUCGAGGGCCGCGCUGAUGGAUCUCGCGAGACAGUGGAAGAGCGCCGCCGACAGCUGA
rnacentral:rRNA from 1 species